UGAUUAAAUUACAUUAAUGAGGAAAAGAAAAAAAACUUCAGAAAUAAUAAAUCUAAAUUAAGGAAUGGUAAAAAAAAGUCUGACCUUUAGAAAGACCCAGAUUGCAUUAAGAACAGUCAUAAAUAUCUCCCACGUUUAACAUAACAAAUC